GACGAACGCUGGCGGCGUGCUUAACACAUACAAGUCGAACGGUGAAGCUCCAGCUUGCUGGAGUGGAUCAGUGGCGAACGGGUGAGUAACACGUGAGCAACCUGCCCCUGACUCUGGAAUAAGCGCUGGAAACGGCGUCUAAUACUGGAUACGAGAAGGGUCCGCAUGGGCACUUUCUGGAAAGUUUUUCGGUUGGGGAUGGGCUCGCGGCCUAUCAGCUUGUUGGUGAGGUAAUGGCUCACCAAGGCGACGACGGGUAGCCGGCCUGAGAGGGCGACCGGCCACACUGGGAUUGAGACACGGCCCAGACUCCUACGGGAGGCAGCAGUGGGGAAUAUUGCACAAUGGGCGAAAGCCUGAUGCAGCGACGCCGCGUGAGGGAUGACGGCCUUCGGGUUGUAAACCUCUUUCAGCAGGGAAGAAGCGAAAGUGACGGUACCUGCAGAAGAAGCACCGGCUAACUACGUG
rnacentral:rRNA from 1 species